GAAAUACUCCCUCUGUCCGGAAAUACUUGUCAUCAAAAUGGAUAAAAGGAGAUGUAUCUAGACGUAUUUUAGUUCUACAUACAUUAUUUUUUAUCCAUUUUGAUGACAAGUAUUUUCGGACGGAGGGAGUAAGUU
rfam:Triticum aestivum genome assembly, contig: Triticum_aestivum_CS42_TGACv1_scaffold_569058_7AS